AUGGAGCGCCUGCUUGGGCUGCUCAAGGUGAAGGUGGUCAGCGGGGUGAACCUGGCCAUCUGCGACCCCCUCGCCCACAGCAGCGACCCCUACGUCGUCAUCCGCCUCGGACAGCAGGUACUUUCCUUCCUGUCCGAUCAUCACUGGGCCUGGGCCUGGGCCUGGGCUGAUCGAGUGCUAAAUCUAAAACCGAGAUGUAAUCAUGUGCAGAAAGUGAAGUCCGGUAUCAAAUAUAAAUUCACCAACCCGGAAUGGAACGAGGAGCUCACCCUGUCCAUCACAAACUGGACGCUCCCGGUUAAGAUUGAAGUCUUUGACCAUGAUACUUUCACCAAGGAUGACAGCAUGGGCGAUGCAGAGUUCAGCAUCCUCGACUUCGUCGAGAUCGCCAACAAGGACCUCAGCCACGUCCCUGACGACACCGUGAUGAAGACGAUCCACCCUGACAAGGACAACUGCUUCUCCACCGAGAGCCACAUCAGAUGGAAAGACGACAAGGUCUCUCAGAACAUUGUCCUCAAGCUGAGGAACACCGACACCGGCGAGAUCAUCCUGCACCUGGAGUGGGUUAACAUCCCAGGCACGGCGCGGUGA
rnacentral:rRNA from 1 species